CCCUUAGAUGUCCUGGGCUGCACGCGCGCUACACUGGAAGUUACGGAUUGAGAUACUACCUUGUCCGAAAUGGUCCGGGUAAUCACCUAAAAGCUUGUCAUAAUUGGAAUGGAUUAUUGUAACUAGUAAUCCUGAACGAGGGAUUCCUAGUAAGUCCCAGUCAACAGCUGGUACUGAUUACGUCCCUGCCCUUUGUACACACCGCCCGUCGCUACUACUGAUUGGACGUUUAAGCAAGAUUUUUAAACACUGACAGUGUGUAGUUCACGCUAUACUACAGUGAGAAGAAGAAGAUCGAGCUUACUUGUCUAGAGGAAGUAAAAGUCGUAACA
rnacentral:rRNA from 1 species